GUGCUUGCUUUGGCAGCACAUAUACUAAAAUCAGAAUGAUACAGAGAAGAUUAGCAUGGCCCCUAAACAAGGAAGACACACAAAUUCAUAAAGCGUUCCAUAUAAAA
rnacentral:snRNA from 1 species